rnacentral:rRNA from 1 species
CCUGAGAAACCCGAAAGAUCGAAUGGGGAGAUUCAUCGUCAGCGAUCCUGGCACGUGUGCGGUUCGUGAUGCCACGGGACUUCGGUCCCGAGGUACACGUCCGUGUGGGUUUUUUGCCUGGUGUCGUCGGCGUGCACUUCUCCCCUAGUAGGACGUCGCGACCCGUUGGGUGUCGGUCUACGGCCCGGGUGGACGCCUGUCACGCGCACUACGACGCCUCGCGGCGUCAUGUGGCUGACAGACCCCCGGUCGUCUGACCAGCUGCCCGGCGGUACUCGCACGGUAUCGAGCCGCAAAUUUGAACUGCGUCCGGCCCGCCGCAAGCGAGGCCAGUGUUUUCCCGGAUGUACGGACCUAGCGCCGUCGCCGGGCCUGGCCAGCUGUUGGUCGGCGGUGUCCUGGGACUGGCUCUUACGUAUACCGGUCGGCGACGCUACUGCUUUGGGUACUUUCAGGACCCGUCUUGAAACACGGA